GACUCGGGCAGUGGGAUGGAGUGACGGACCAUGGCGCCGUACAGGCCGUACUCUGCCAUGACGCUGCUGCGACCCCAACACUUCUCCCUCUUCCUCCACUUGGCCCUGCGGUUCUGAAACCACACCUGGAGAGAUGAAGACUGAUGUGUGUGCAGAGUUUGACUCUAAAAGGCUGUUUUCACAUUGAUCUGCUGAAGGUGGGGAAGUUUCUCUGUGCUCACUUUAAAUCUCAGUUUAAACUUUGUACCAGGAUCAAAACCUCCCAUGCACAUACACUGAAACUGUACUUUUCAGUGAAGCAGGAGAAAAUCUUUAGUAAUUUAACUUUUGAAAUGAACAAUAUUUGCAUAUUAUUAUUCAAAGCAGAGUGUUUUUAUAUGUCUUAAAACAUGUCUGGAGGGAAUCUUAAGCUUCCUCAACUCCUCCUUGUUGUUUGAUGCUGAGACAACCCAGCGUCACUGCUGUAUCAACGUAAGAAUCUUUUAUGAUGUGGACCAGGAGAGAAACAUCAGUGGAACAAUGACAUCUACUGGAGGCUUAAACAAAACAAAAAGGGAGGAUUUGGAGAACUUCUGGUCACCGGAGGAAAGACUCAAGGCAUCAGAAUCUGCGAGGAAACACAACAGCAAUAAUAAUAAUAAUAAUAAUAAUGAGAAUAACAACAACAUGAUAUUAAUAAUAAUGAUACCUAAAUUGUAUAAUACAUGAAAGAUGGUAGAAAAUAGUAACACUGGUCCGCUUUUGUGAUGUAAAAUGUUUACUUCUGCAUGUUGAGUCUUCAGCGCGGAUUUGUCCCAAAUGACAGAAAAUAUCAUAAAUAAAUACUAAUAAAAUUGAGAAAAUUAAGUUUAAAGAAUUUAUUUUAGUAAGGCCUCUAGACAUUUCUUUUCAAUCUUUAACCCAUUUUUUAAACAGAUGCUUUUAUAAAGAUGCAUUUCAGAAGAAAAAUAUUCUAACAUACUGUUUUCUAGGUGAAUUUAUAUUUCAGUCUCUCUACCGUCAGUAUUAUUCGAUCACAGGGCGCGAAGGCUUUGACACUUGCGCUGUUUUUUGUUGACCUCUGUCGUUUUUGUGCAAGAAAGGUCUGCUAGCCACUCAUUCUGGCUCGCUUAUAAUAAACACACGAGCUAAAAAUGUGUGCUGAUGUUAUACAGGUGGCCUAUAGUUUGAAACAUUCAGCAGUUAUUCUCACCUGCGCAUCAGAAACAUGCAGUAUGUUAGCAGAGUUAUCAGGCCUUCAG